rnacentral:rRNA from 1 species
ACGCGAGGCCAUUGCUAUCGGAGUCCGAUUUAGCCCUGCUAGUCGCACGAGUUCAGACUCGUGGCAAAUAGCUCAGUAACACGUGGCCAAACUACCCUACGGACCGCAAUAACCUCGGGAAACUGAGGCUAAUAGUGGAUACCGCUCUCAGACUGGAAUGUCGAGAGUCUGAAACGCUCCGGCGCCGUAGGAUGUGGCUGCGGCCGAUUAGGUAGACGGUGGGGUAACGGCCCACCGUGCCGAUAAUCGGUACGGGUCGUGAGAGCAAGAGCCCGGAGACGGAAUCUGAGACAAGAUUCCGGGCCCUACGGGGCGCAGCAGGCGCGAAACCUUUACACUGCACGACAGUGCGAUAAGGGGACUCCGAGUGCGAGGGCAUAGAGUCCUCGCUUUUGUGCACCGUAAGGUGGUACAGGAACAAGGGCUGGGCAAGACCGGUGCCAGCCGCCGCGGUAAUACCGGCAGCCCGAGUGAUGGCCGAUAUUAUUGGGCCUAAAGCGUCCGUAGCCGGCCGCACAAGUCCAUCGGGAAAUCCACCUGCUCAACGGGUGGGCGUCCGGUGGAAACUGUUCGGCUUGGGGCCGGAAGACCCGAGGGGUACGUCCGGGGUAGGAGUGAAAUCCCGUAAUCCUGGACGGACCACCGAUGGCGAAAGCACCUCGGGAAGACGGAUCCGACAGUGAGGGACGAAAGCUAGGGUCUCGAACCGGAUUAGAUACCCGGGUAGUCCUAGCCGUAAACGAUGCUCGCUAGGUGUGGCUCCCGCUACGAGCGGGUGCUGUGCCGUAGGGAAGCCGAUAAGCGAGCCGCCUGGGAAGUACGUCCGCAAGGAUGAAACUUAAAGGAAUGGGCGGGGAACCCA